AGCCCCGAGGUGGUGUAUCACAUUGAAUUGCAAAUUCAAAGAAGCAGCUUCAACUCUGCCGGGGCUU
rnacentral:tRNA from 1 species